GCUGUGAAACAAAGAUCGGAAAGAAAUGGAGCAAUAUGGAGAUCCAUCCAGCAUGAUAUAUACACAUAUCUGAUGGAGACUAAACAAAUUCAAAUCCAGUGCUUCCUAAAACAACCUCCUCUCAUUCUACGGUGGUAGACCUCAUAUGGAACACAAUACAGACCCCUGCGUUUCUGCAUCUGCACUGUCACAAGUCUGGUCAAAGUUGUUUGACGGUCCUUAGGAAAAGUACCAACUCUUCUUAGAUCUGUAAGAGAAGUGAGGUCAGAGGACAAAGUGCUGCCCCCAAACUGAGACCAGCAGUUUAGAUGUCUUCUUGCAAGUUCUGCCAAACUCUUUGUGGAACAGUUGACAGAAAAAAAGAAAAAAAAAAGAGAGAGAGAGAUAAAUAAUAGGACUCUCAUGUUAGAAAAUCUGGAAAUGGAGGGUUCUUCAAGGUCCUAUAAACUGCACCAGGCAGAUGUGACAAGAGCCUGGUCCUCAGGCUCCAGGACGUUUUCUGCUCUGGCUGUUCUUCCCAAGCCCUGUUUCCUUCCUUCUGCUCAGGAUGAUGGGCUCCCAGAUAUGGGGAACCAGCAGGGAAAACAGUGCUGAAUAGGAAUAUGCAGCAGGUCCUCAGUGAGCCUCAUUUCAUAAAUUGGUUUCUUGGCAAUCUACAUUCUAAUUUUUCAUCAGUUCAUGGUUGUACUCUUGACAGCCUCACUUCAGCUAGAAUCUCCAGGGAUUGGACAACAGUUCAGAAAGAUGGGCCAAAUAGAUAGGAUUCAUUCUUUGGAUUUAGAAAGGAAAAAGCAAGAAAUCUUGGAUAUGUUUAUGAAACUUCUGAUGUACCAUUUGCAUGUCAGUAGGCUUAUUUAAUUCCUCCUCAUGCUUUUGUGUUUCCCACCCCAAUAUAUACGUUGCUUGUGUUUUUGCUUCAGGAAGUCAAAUAUACUCAAUAAAAAUGACCAAGAUAUGUCUGUCUACCCUCAAGCACACACACCCACACCUUUAUAGAGAUGCCAAGAAUUACCAUUUUAUCUAA